rnacentral:rRNA from 1 species
AUACGUAGGUGGCAAGCGUUGUCCGGAUUUACUGGGCGUAAAGCGUGCGUAGGCGGCUUUUUAAGUCGGAUGUGAAAUCCCCGAGCUUAACUUGGGAAUUGCAUUCGAUACUGGGAAGCUAGAGUAUGGGAGAGGAUGGUAGAAUUCCAGGUGUAGCGGUGAAAUGCGUAGAGAUCUGGAGGAAUACCGAUGGCGAAGGCAGCCAUCUGGCCUAAUACUGACGCUGAGGUACGAAAGCAUGGGGAGCAAACAGGAUUAGAUACCCUGGUAGUCCAUGCCGUAAACGAUGUCUACUAGCCGUUGGGGCCUUUGAGGCUUUAGUGGCGCAGCUAACGCGAUAAGUAGACCGCCUGGGGAGUACGGUCGCAAGACUAAA